AUUGAACGCUGGCGGCAGGCCUAACACAUGCAGGUCGAACGGUAACAGGAAGAAGCUUGCUUCUUUGCUGACGAGUGGCGGACGGGUGAGUAAUGUCUGGGAAACUGCCUGAUGGAGGGGGAUAACUACUGGAAACGGUAGCUAAUACCGCAUAACGUCGCAAGACCAAAGAGGGGGACCUUCGGGCCUCUUGCCAUCGGAUGUGCCCAGAUGGGAUUAGCUAGUAGGUGGGGUAACGGCUCACCUAGGCGACGAUCCCUAGCUGGUCUGAGAGGAUGACCAGCCACACUGGAACUGAGACACGGUCCAGACUCCUACGGGAGGCAGCAGUGGGGAAUAUUGCACAAUGGGCGCAAGCCUGAUGCGGCCAUGCCGCGUGUAUGAAGAAGGCCUUCGGGUUGUAAAGUACUUUCAGCGGGGAGGAAGGGAGUAAAGUUAAUACCUUUGCUCAUUGACGUUACCCGCAGAAGAAGCACCGGCUAACUCCGUG
rnacentral:rRNA from 1 species